rnacentral:rRNA from 1 species
GAUGAACGCUGACAGAAUGCUUAACACAUGCAAGUCUUUGGAGAAUCUGUGCUUGCUCAGGUUAGCAAAGGCGGACGGGUGAGUAACGCGUAAAGAACUUGCCCUGCAGACAGGGAUAACAGAAGGAAACGACUGAUAACACCUGAUACAAUUGUCGGCGCGAAUGUGUGUGGCAAUGAAAAGAGAUGCUGCAGGAGAGAUUUGCGUCCUAUUAGCUUGUUGGUGAGGUGACGGCUAACCAAGGCGGUGAUAGGUAGCUGGCCUGAGAGGGUGAACGGCCACAAGGGGACUGAGAUACAGCCCUUACGCCUACGGGAGGCAGCAGUGGGGAAUAUUGGACAAUGGGGGCGACCCUGAUCCAGCAAUUCUGUGUGCACGAAGAAGGUUUUCGGAUUGUAAAUUGCUUUCAGCAGGGAAGAAGAAAGUGACGGUACCUGCAGAAGAAGCGACGGCUAACUACGUG